rnacentral:rRNA from 1 species
CAGGCUUAACACAUGCAAGUCGAGGGGCAGCAUUUUAGUUUGCUUGCAAACUGAAGAUGGCGACCGGCGCACGGGUGAGUAACACGUAUCCAACCUACCGAUAACUCCGGAAUAGCCUUUCGAAAGAAAGAUUAAUACCGGAUAGCAUACGAAUAUCGCAUGAUAUUUUUAUUAAAGAAUUUCGGUUAUCGAUGGGGAUGCGUUCCAUUAGUUUGUUGGCGGGGUAACGGCCCACCAAGACUACGAUGGAUAGGGGUUCUGAGAGGAAGGUCCCCCACAUUGGAACUGAGACACGGUCCAAACUCCUACGGGAGGCAGCAGUGAGGAAUAUUGGUCAAUGGGCGAGAGCCUGAACCAGCCAAGUAGCGUGAAGGAUGAAGGCUCUAUGGGUCGUAAACUUCUUUUAUAUGGGAAUAAAGUUUUCCACGUGUGGAAUUUUGUAUGUACCAUAUGAAUAAGGAUCGGCUAACUCCGUGCCAGCAGCCGCGGUAAUACGGAGGAUCCGAGCGUUAUCCGGAUUUAUUGGGUUUAAAGGGAGCGUAGGUGGAUUGUUAAGUCAGUUGUGAAAGUUUGCGGCUCAACCGUAAAAUUGCAGUUGAAACUGGCAGUCUUGAGUACAGUAGAGGUGGGCGGAAUUCGUGGUGUAGCGGUGAAAUGCUUAGAUAUCACGAAGAACUCCGAUUGCGAAGGCAGCUCACUAGACUGCCACUGACACUGAUGCUCGAAAGUGUGGGUAUCAAACAGGAUUAGAUACCCUGGUAGUCCACACAGUAAACGAUGAAUACUCGCUGUUUGCGAUAUACAGUAAGCGGCCAAGCGAAAGCAUUAAGUAUUCCACCUGGGGAGUACGCCGGCAACGGUGAAACUCAAAGGAAUUGACGGGGGCCCGCACAAGCGGAGGAACAUGUGGUUUAAUUCGAUGAUACGCGAGGAACCUUACCCGGGCUUAAAUUGCAACAGAAUAUAUUGGAAACAGUAUAGCCGUAAGGCUGUUGUGAAGGUGCUGCAUGGUUGUCGUCAGCUCGUGCCGUGAGGUGUCGGCUUAAGUGCCAUAACGAGCGCAACCCUUAUCUUUAGUUACUAACAGGUUAUGCUGAGGACUCUAGAGAGACUGCCGUCGUAAGAUGUGAGGAAGGUGGGGAUGACGUCAAAUCAGCACGGCCCUUACGUCCGGGGCUACACACGUGUUACAAUGGGGGGUACAGAAGGCGGCUACCUGGUGACAGGAUGCUAAUCCCAAAAACCUCUCUCAGUUCGGAUCGAAGUCUGCAACCCGACUUCGUGAAGCUGGAUUCGCUAGUAAUCGCGCAUCAGCCAUGGCGCGGUGAAUACGUUCCCGGGCCUUGUACACACCGCCCGUCAAGCCAUGAAAGCCGGGGGUACCUGAAGUACGUAACCGCAAGGAGCGUCCUAGGGUAAAACUGGUAAUUGGGGCUAAGUC